UACAGGAGGGUGCAAGCGUUAAUCGGAAUUACUGGGCGUAAAGGGCGCGUAGGCGGCCUACUAAGUCAGACGUGAAAUCCCCCCGGCUUAACCUGGGAACUGGCGUCUGAUACUGGAAGGCUUGAGUAUGGGAGAGGGAUGUAGAAUUCCAGGUGUAGCGGUGAAAUGCGCAGAUAUCAGGAGGAACAGCCGGUGGCGAAGGCGGGUCUCUGGGCCGAUACUGACGCUGAGGCACGAAAGCGUGGGGAGCAAACAGG
rnacentral:rRNA from 1 species